AAUACAUGCAAGUCGAGCGAGCAAUUUUAACGGAAUACCUUCGGGUAGGAAGAUAAAAGCGCGAGCGGCGGAUGGGUGAGUAACACGUGGGCAACCUGCCCUUUAGCUUGGGAUACCACUUGGAAACAGGUGCUAAUACCAAAUAAGAAGCAAGAGCGCAUGCUCAAGCUAUGAAAGGCGGCUUUCGAGCUGUCACUAAAGGAUGGGCCCGCGGUGCAUUAGCUAGUUGGUAAGGUAACGGCUUACCAAGGCAAUGAUGCAUAGCCGAGUUGAGAGACUGAUCGGCCACAUUGGGACUGAGACACGGCCCAAACUCCUACGGGAGGCAGCAGUAGGGAAUCUUCCACAAUGGACGCAAGUCUGAUGGAGCAACGCCGCGUGAGUGAAGAAGGUUUUCGGAUCGUAAAGCUCUGUUGUUGGUGAAGAAGGAUAGGGGUAGUAACUGAUUCUUAUUUGACGGUAAUCAACCAGAAAGUCACGGCUAACUACGUG
rnacentral:rRNA from 1 species